rnacentral:misc_RNA from 1 species
AAGUCGUAACAAGGUCUCCGUUGGUGAACCAGCGGAGGGAUCAUUACAGAAGGUUACAAUACCUACAAACCACUGCGAACCGUUCCUUUUAGCUGCCUCGGCGGGCAAUCCCAGGGCGGGAUUCCAGGCCUCCUUCGGGAGGCGCUCGCCGGCGGUGCGCAACGUAUCUAGCUCUGUCUCUCAGCGGAUUUCUGAGUGAUUUUAAAAAAACCUUUAAAAACUUUCAACAACGGAUCUCUUGGCUCUG